UACGAAGGGGGCUAGCGUUGUUCGGAAUCACUGGGCGUAAAGGGCGCGUAGGCGGACUCUUAAGUCGGGGGGUGAAAGCCCAGGGCUCAACCCUGGAAUUGCCUUCGAUACUGAGAGUCUUGAGUUCGGAAGAGGUUGGUGGAACUGCGAGUGUAGAGGUGAAAUUCGUAGAUAUUCGCAAGAACACCAGUGGCGAAGGCGGCCAACUGGUCCGAUACUGACGCUGAGGCGCGAAAAGCGUGGG
rnacentral:rRNA from 1 species